rnacentral:rRNA from 1 species
CGAGUGGCGAACGGGUGAGUAAUGCAUCGGAACGUACCCUAGAGUGGGGGAUAACUAUCCGAAAGGAUAGCUAAUACCGCAUAUUCUAUGAGUAGGAAAGCGGGGGAUCUUCGGACCUCGCGCUCUAGGAGCGGCCGAUGUCAGAUUAGCUAGUUGGUGGGGUAAAGGCCUACCAAGGCGACGAUCUGUAGCGGGUCUGAGAGGAUGAUCCGCCACACUGGGACUGAGACACGGCCCAGACUCCUACGGGAGGCAGCAGUGGGGAAUUUUGGACAAUGGGGGCAACCCUGAUCCAGCCAUGCCGCGUGAGUGAAGAAGGCCUUCGGGUUGUAAAGCUCUUUCGGCCGGGAAGAAAUCGUGUGGGCUAAUACCCUGCAUGGAUGACGGUACCGGAAUAAGAAGCACCGGCUAACUACGUGCCAGCAGCCGCGGUAAUACGUAGGGUGCGAGCGUUAAUCGGAAUUACUGGGCGUAAAGCGUGCGCAGGCGGUUUUUUAAGACAGGCGUGAAAUCCCCGGGCUUAACCUGGGAACUGCGCUUGUGACUGGAAGGCUAGAGUACGGCAGAGGGGGGUGGAAUUCCACGUGUAGCAGUGAAAUGCGUAGAGAUGUGGAGGAACACCGAUGGCGAAGGCAGCCCCCUGGGCCAGUACUGACGCUCAUGC